CUAAGAAUCUUCCUCAAUGGGGGAAACCCUGAAGGAGCGACACUGCGUGCAGGAUGAAGGCCCUUUGGGUUGUAAACUGCUUUUGUAGGGGAGAAAUAACCUUAUGGGAUGAUAGUACCCUACGAAUAAGUCCCGGCUAACUACGUGCCAGCAGCCGCGGUAAAACGUAAGGGGCGAACGUUGCUCGGAAUUACUGGGCGUAAAGGGCCGGUAGGUGGCUUUAUAAGUCAGUUGUCAAAUACCCAUGCUCAACGUGGGAGAGGCGACUGAUACUGUAGAGCUUGAGUAGAAGAGGGGAUGACGGAAUACCCGGUGUAGGGGUGAAAUCUGUUGAUAUCGGGUAGAACACCGAUGGCGAAAGCGGUCAUCUAGCUUCAUACUGACACUCAACGGCGAAAGCCAGGG
rnacentral:rRNA from 1 species